CCAGACUCCUACGGGAGGCAGCAGUGAGGAAUAUUGGUCAAUGGGCGCGAGCCUGAACCAGCCAAGUCGCGUGAGGGAGGACGGCCCUACGGGUUGUAAACCUCUUUUGCCGGGGAGCAACGGGCGUCACGUGUGGCGCCACUGAGAGUACCCGGAGGAAAAGCAUCGGCUAACUCCGUGCCAGCAGCCGCGGUAAUACGGAGGAUGCGAGCGUUAUCCGGAUUUUUUGGGUUUAAAGGGUGCGUAGGCGGCUCGUUAAGACGGGGGUCAAAUGGGGGGGCACACCCCCUGCCCGCCAUUGAAACUGGCGCUCUUGAGUGGAAGAGAAGUAUGCGGAAUGCGUGGUGUAGCGGUGAAAUGCAUAGAUAUUAGGAGGAACACCAGUGGCGAAGGCGGCCUGCUGGACGACAACUGACGGUGAGGCGCGAAAGCGUGGGGAGCAAACAGGAUUAGAUACCCCGGUAA
rnacentral:rRNA from 1 species